UUGGCUUAUGACCCUAGCACUGCGACCUCACUUCCUUGGCGACAGGUCCAAACAGAACUCGGAACCCUGGAGUCACUGGGCACCACAGUCCAGCGACGGCUGCCUGACAGUCACUUGGCUGGAGAGCGUCAGCAGCGAUCAUGCCGUGCUGCUUUCCCAGGCCUCGAGGCCGCAGCACCAGGACCCCGCGCAGGGAAAGCACUUGGGCGCGAGUGAGCGGAUGGAUGGCUAAGUCCCCGUGCUUCGGGCCACUCACCAGGAACUGCCUGGCCUUCAGGGGCAGCACAGGGCGGGUCUCCCCAGACCCAGAGACCUGGGAAUCUGAGAUGAGCGGGAGCCCAGGGGAGAUCUCCCUGGACCUGGACUCCAGACACUCAGGGCCACCAGGCCACCUGUCCAGGACAGGUCCAGUUAGGCCCGGCCACCACUAUUGGGGCCCAACGGGAGGAGAGCCGGGUAGAGGACUGCAUGGUGAGGACAGCGCGGGCAGACAUGCAGCACCCUCGGAGGGAGCCCCCGGAAUGGGACUUCCUGGACCCCUCUGGGGCCCCCAUUCCCGCCCUGCAGGAGGGGAUGGUGUGAAGGCGAGGUCUGUGGUCGGCACCCAGGAGCACUUGGCCACUGUGGAUCCAAGUCCUUGGGAGGUAUGAGCCCUGCCUCAGCCUGCUCGCAACUCUGAGCAGCAGGGCGCUGAGAAAAUCGGGCUCUCGGCAUCACUGCGGGGCAGAACUGGGGUCUCCAGGGCAGUGCUGACCCAGGCCUGCCGAAUUCCCUUCCAUCCCUGGCCAGCUGUGCUUUGCCCCACUGAGCCCUGCACAGGGGAAGGCUGUCCGUUCCCUGUAAAGGAGACCGCAGAGUGACUCGGCAGGCCUCUGGUCUUCCCAGAGCAGGAGUCUGUGGGGAUGCGAAGGGCCCAGGCCCACUGACAUCAGGGAAGAGCAGGUGGGGUCCCCAUUCCAUGGACGUAUGUGAAGACACACUGUGUGGAGACCUUUCCCAGGGCUUGGCUGUGAUCGCCAGUAGCCAGAGCAGAUGCAACCCCUGCCCUCUGGGGCCUCAGUGCUGUUUGGGGUCCUCAGUCACCCUGGACAGCUGAGCGAGCAUUCCUCGCACUGCAGUAGAUCCCACUUUCCCGGCCUCCCUAGAUGUGGACCCACAGCAGUGCAAGAGGAGCCCAGGAGCGGCAUAGACACUGGGCAGCACAGCGCUGCAGAGCUAAAGCCUGAGGAGAGGUGGGCGGGACAGAUGCCCACUGUCCCCCACGUCUCAGAUCAUUACAGAGCAGUGGCCCUGUGCCCUUGAGUGUAACACGCAGCAGACAGCAGACUCUGUCCUCAUGCAGCUGGCAGUGGGGACGGGUGGGCAGACGGUGUGUUGGGCUGCCCUGAACAAGGCAGGGGCGGUCGCACCACAGAGCACGGAGCUUCCUGUUAGGUCUCGGGCUGCCUGGGCUGACACUGCCCCACUGGGCGUGGCGAGGGUGGGGCUGGAGCACGCGCAGCCGGGCCAGGAGGCCUACUUGGCCAUCUCCGAAUGUUCCCUGGGCAGGCAGCAUGGGAGGAAAGGCCAGGCCUCUCACUCUGCCGCCUACCUGCCUUUCCAGGGCCUCCUUUUCUGCCCUCCACUUCUGGGAGGAGCUGGACUCCCAGGAGGAUCCACCAGCUGAACUCCUGCCCCAGCUGGAGCAAGCUGAGCCCACUGAGGCACAGCCCACGGGACCAGCUGCAGCCCCAGCUGAAGUCCCACGUGCGGAGCCCGAGCCAGCUCCACCUGCAGCUUCCUGCCCAGCGCUGGGACCACAGCCAGAGUCCAUGGCAGCCCCUUCACCUGCUGCAGUGCUGGGGUACCCGGUGGUUGCACGGCGGUCGGUGUCACCUCCUGAGCUCUGCCUGGGGCCAGCUCCUGGCCCCCUCCCACUGUUCCCCUCACUUAUGCUGGCUCUUGUUUUGGUAUUUAUACUUGCCCCUAUUUCUUGGAUUUAUAUAAAUAAUAGAACUAGCUUUUAAUAAAAUUUAAAAUUUUAGUGUUUAAAAGG